ACUGGGAAGAGAACCAACUGCUGCGCAACGCUAAAAUAAUAAUAAUAAUUACGAAAAAGCCGCAGGGGGAGGGGGGUUGCUCCGCUUUUGCGGUCAGGCAGGUCCAGACACCUGCCGGAGCGGGAGGCCGAGAUGCAUUCGGCGGCAGGGAAGGGAGCGCGCCGCUGCCUCCCGCCGACCCCGCGGAGGAGGAGGAGCAGCAGCAGUUUCGCCGGAGCAACUCGAGGCGGAGCCCGCCGUCGGGCGCGCGCGGCAUCGGCGGAGCUCCCGCGGUCGACGUCUUUAACCCCUCACGCGCUGCGGAGUAUCCGGGCUCUCGCUCCAAGCCGGCGGGCUCUUUUUUUUUUCUAACCAGGAGCCACGUUGGCGUGACCUUUUCGCGGGUACCAACUUCCCCGCUCCUCCUCCUCUUGAAAACGGUUGGACUUAAGCUCCUGCCUCAGGGUGGGGGAGAGGGAGAUGGCCCGAGGUGGCCCGGUUUCUCCCGCCAAAGUCCACUUUCAGCCCGCGCCUACUCGGUUACACCCACCCGCGUUAGGAGCUCGUCGCCACCCCUCCCCCGAAAAAGCAAAGCAAACACGCAGCGUCUCCUGACGAAGGCUUUCCCGCUCUUUCUCCAGCCCCCCUUGAUGCCCAGGGGUCACUCGAAGGAAAGCGCCUGUGGUGACCACCCCACCCCAGUCCCGUCCAAGACAAAGUGAAGUGACUGGAGGAGCCCUUAUGAAGACGGCAGGGGAAACGCUGGAGAAGUUUGGAGCUAGACCAAGGAAUUUGAGGAGAAGGCUCAAAAGGUCUGAAUACGGAAUGAACCCAGCAAAAGAUGGUUGGUAAGCAGCAGAACCUCCCAAAGGAUGCCUAAUUCAAGGUGCUGGGUGCUCCUUCUAAAGCCCUAAACGGCUGGGGCCCAGAAUAUCUGAAAAACUGUCUUCUCCUGCAAGAACCUGUCUGUCAGUUAUGGUCAUCAUCAGAACCCUUGAUCCUUGUUCAACUUUAAAGGCACUUAGAAGAUGCUGAUGCUGCUUUUGCAAUCCAGCUAUGGAGUACACAAAAGAACAAUAUUCAUUAUGGACUUCUCUUGCAUAAAUAUAAUCAUGAUUUCAGGGCCAUGCAGCUCCAAUUCAAUGUUGUGCAUCUCUUAUUCACUUCAAUAGGAUAAAAUCUCAGGUUCCGGUUUCCGCCGGCAGGAAUGGCGGACCUGUUUUCCAUCCCUCUGACCUUCGUGAGGAAUUUGGCGGUUACUAGGGGAGUAAAUGGCAACCCCCUACCCUCUCCGGGGGUUACGGAGAGGGGCCGCUGGCCCGCGAUGCCCCCAGACCCACUCCGACUGUUUAUGGAGUGGGGGGGGGGCUUGGGCUGAAAAGCACUUACGAGGGCCAGGACUCCCGGACGCUAAUCUGCAUGGCGGGGAUUUCCAUGGUUAAAGAAGAUAAUUAGGCUUAAAUCUAUGGACAUACUUCAGAAGGAGGGGAAGAAGCGCUGUUUACUGCUGAGAAAUUUAUGCUGCUGAGGGAGAGGAGUCAAAGGCUGUAUUUCAUCUGGAAGAAGGAUUGAUGGGGACGGAGCGAUAAGGGAAGUGAGUUUUUUUUUAUUUUUCUUCAUAUGAGUUACUUCGUACCUUCCCAGACGCGAUGUCCUGGCUUGUUUGGAGUGAAAGAGAAGCAAAAGACUGUGUGAGUUGAACUUUAUAAACUGUUGUUACUGAGCAUAUUUUUUAAAGAUGUGGAGUUGCCGAUGAGAAAAGCCCCCCCCUAGUUGGACGGAAGGAGUGCCUGGACGCGUUCGGAGGAUUUAUGAGCUGUGACGCACUUUGAAUUGGAGCAGCGACCUGAAGCUAAGUUCAGCUAUAGGGCAAGGAGAUCCAUUAAUUUACCAAGAGUUUAUGGUUUGAUGUUUGGGUCUUCUGCCUGGAAAAGCUGUAAAUUUUACAAAGAUCGUUAAUCUACAUGGCUAUGAGAGAAAACGAAAGUGAUUUGAGCUUUUUAAGAUGGCGCUGCUUCGUGUUGACGACACAACAGGGAGCUCCAGACUAAGAAGAUUUAUGGGGAGGCCGGACUGAUUAACCCACACAGGAGAAAGAACAUCUGUGAAACUUUGUUUCCCAGCUGCUGAGAUAAAUAUCAAACAAUCGGUUGAAAGUGGAAAACAUCUAUGUGACUGUAAGGGAAAGAUCUGGAUUAUUAUGAACUUGGAGAGACGAUUUGAACUUUAGAAAAAAGACGGCAGUGGACGGUUGCGAGGAAUCCCCAAUUUCUUGAAGCAUGGGAACCCAAAAAAAUUUUCUAGAUGAUUUGGCAUAACAUUCGGUUUGAUUGAUAUAUAUGUGUAUAAUUUGAAAUAAUGAAUGUGAUAUAAUUGGUUUUAAUUGGAAAAUUAAUAAAAAUAUAUUUUAAAAAAAACAAUAGGAUAAAAUCUCAAUAGAUCAUAGUCAUCAUUCUCAGAAAGGCUCAGUUUGAGAAUAAAUAACAUUUACUUUUCGGUUUGCAUUAUUUUAUAGUGAGACCAACUUUCACCUUUUGGAGAAAGAUGUUAUCUUUCAGGGUGCAUCUGUCUGACAUUUUCACUGUCAAGCUUAGAAGAAGAAAAAGGUAAAAGGUAAAAUGAUGCCUAGAAUACUACACAGUCCUUAUCUAUCAAUAUUGAUCAAGAUAUAGGAAACAUUUGUUUCCUGGCACUUUUGCUAAAUGUCUAAAUUAAAGGAUCAGAUUAAAGAACUGCUGGGCAGAUGAAUGGAACACCACCACUGUCAUUAUAAUAUGCAGGAUGAAUUUCUGCAAGAUAGUACAUAGAGUAUGCAAUUAUUGGACAACUGAAUUUAAAGACUUCCAUUUUGCUAGUGAGCUCUGCAGAACACAACACUUCAAUAUAAUGAAAAUGCCAUUCAUAUACCAAAACAAGAUGGCCCAAUUCACUAGCAAGCUAAAGACAAUGCAAGUGACUGCACAGGAGUAAAAACAGAAAGGCUCAGACUCCUUUUAUACAGUGGUUACCUUGCAAGACGAAUGCACCGUGCAACGAAAAACUCGCAAGACGAAGUUUUCUAUGGCCGUGCUUCGCAAGACGAAUUUUUUUUGCAUUUUUUUCUUUUUUUCUUUGCUUACAUUGGAAAACCGCAAGCUGAAAUUUUCGCAAUACAAAACGACUCACAGAACGAAUUAAUUUCGUCUUGCGAGGCACUACUGUAUAAUUAGACAGAGCAAGGUGCUCAUGGAAUGCCUUCUGAAUAUCAAACAGUGGUUUUCAAAAGAGAACUACAGUGAUUGUGGGGGAAAUCAAAUGCAAUUGACAGCACUGAUUCAAAUUUUAACAGUUUUGGAUGCUCCAAUUUAGUUUUCUUAAUUAAGUAGGAAAGAACAGAUAGGCCAUGUAUACAAGAUCAUAUCAUAUGAUGAAACAUGCUAAUGCCUUCUUAAUUAAGACCUGGGGGAAACCCGUCACAAACUGGCAGUCCAGAACAUAUGGACCAAUUGGCGGGUCCACUAUAGGUACCAAUAAGUCCCUACGGCUCCACAGUGUCUCCAGUGUGACUUACUCCCUGAGUAGUGAGUAUGUGCCAUUUGCACCAGUGUGAGGAACCAUGUAUAAACAAAUUUCAAACCAUUUCUCUAAUAGAGAAUUAUACUGAAUACAGUGGUUGUAGGCACCAAACUUGAUAGAUGAAGGAGAAAUGAAAUUCAGUCUGCAUUUAAAGGCAAAUUUACUUAAUUAACACUUUCUGAAACAAUACGUGAAACAAAACACAGCCAUCCGUUGACAUUUGCACUUCCCUGAAUUUUACAAUGCAGUUCUGCGGCCCAUUAAUGUGUAUGAAAUGCAUAUGUUUUGGGAAAUGUGCUUGUAAAUGUAUAUAUGAGGGGAAGUAAAAUGCAAAAAUACAUUGUAUUAGGGAAAAGUAUGUCUAAAUAAUGUGUAUAUCUGGCAAAUGUAUGGAUUAGGAGAAAUUUACACUAAAAUGCUGAUGAAUCUUCAUGAGAACUUAAAAAAAGUGAACUGAUGUGAAAAUGUGAAAACUGAACUUAACAUUUGUAAAAAAUGAAAAACUAAGAGAAAUCAAAAUUGACAUAUUCACUCAUCCCUAUUCUCUGCUCCCAAGUGUACAAUAUACUCAACCCCUUUAAAAGGGUGAUGAUUCUGUUUUUAAAAUAAAGCAUAUCUUGAUCUUUGAAAGAAAAGGGCAGAAGUUAUCUCACCAAAAUUAACAUUUUUUUUCCUGUACAGGAGGCUUUUUAUGAUCCCAGCAAGGAAAUUAUCACAUAAGAAUA